rnacentral:rRNA from 1 species
UGGGGAAUUUUGGACAAUGGGCGCAAGCCUGAUCCAGCCAUGCCGCGUGCAGGAAGAAGCAUCUAUGGUGUGUAAACUGCUUUUGUACGGGAAGAAACACUCCUACGUGUAGGAGCUUGACGUUACCGUAAGAAUAAGGAUCGGCUAACUCCGUUCCAGCAGCCGCGGUAAUACGGAGGAUCCAAGCGUUAUCCGGAAUCAUUGGGUUUAAAGGGUCCGUAGGCGGUUUAAUAAGUCAGUAGUGAAAGCCCAUCGCUCAACGAUGGAACGGCCAUUGAUAAUGUUAGACUUGAAUUACAAGGAAGUAAAUAGAAUAUGUAGUGUAGCGGUGAAAUGCUUAGAUAUUACAUGGAAUACCAAAUGCGAAAGCAGGUUACUACUUGUGGAUUGACACUGAUGGACGAAAGCGUGGGGAGCGAACA